CAGACAAAACAGGCAUGAUUACCAAAGGGUCAGACAAAACAGGCAUGUUUCCAACUCGAUGCGAGUGCAGUAUAUAUUUCCAUCCCUCCUCAAAGAGGUGUGUAUACAAUCUCCAUCCGAAGUUCGGGAACUUCAUCUCUGCUGUUUUCCUGGGUCAGAGAACAUGAGAUGGCAAACCUUUCGAUAAAGCUCUGGAGUCUUUACCGACGGGGUUCGGAGUGGAAGCCCGCUGUGGAGGUGCUCGUCAAUCAUUACUUGGAAUUGAAAGAACGGGUUAUGUAUAGGUGCCCUAAUCAAUCCCGAUGUUCGCUAGAAACAUACGGGCAAGGGUCAUGCACGAAUAUCACCUAAAUCCGUUCCCUUGUGGUAUGCUUCAAGAGGCCAGAGAAUUUGUUCUCGGCAUCUUGUAAGGAUACAAGAUGAGAAGGCUGAUAAUCGUUGUUCAUCAAUGUAUGUGACACCUCAAUCAUGGCGGGUCCAAGAAUGUCAAGAUGCCUCAAAAGAAGCAAUCCAUGUAUCUCCAAUAAAUAGUUGAAGAUACAUCAACAAGACGAUCUAGGUAAUUGGAGAUGCUUGUGAAGUCAUCCGCAACCUAGUUUUCAUUCGUUUAUUGUGAAGCACAAUGAGCUUUCCGAUAGAAUCAAGGAAACCUUCUUUCUUGUCAAGAAGGCAUAUUCCCCAUUUCAAAUUUCCUUUUCUUUUGAUCCACCAUCAAUUUUCAACCCGAAUUACAACAUAUCUAAAUCACAGUAAGUAUGAACAGACAACCGGCACAUUCUCAGCAGACAAUUGCCUACAAUAUGCUAAUUUAUACUUCAUCUCCUCCAAAGAUCGUACAAAAAAGCAUAUAUAAAUCAGAGGGUUCUAAGCCCAAACACUGAUAAACGAAGAGCCUUUUGGCAAAACCCCAGAAUCAGUCAUGCGUUCUCGAAUGCUCUUCUUUUUUUACCACAGGAUGCCAUAGUACCUUCUUUUCAUCCCCUGUAAGCCAUGGACAUGUUUUGUAUUAGACUAAUGAUAUAUCAAGAAGAGUAUGGUUCAGUCUU